GACGUAGGGCGCGAGCGUUGUCCGGAUUUAUUGGGCGUAAAGAGCUCGUAGGCGGCUUGUCGCGUCGACUGUGAAAACCCGCGGCUCAACUGCGGGCCUGCAGCCGAUACGGGCAGGCUAGAGUUCGGUAGGGGAGACUGGAAUUCCUGGUGUAGCGGUGAAAUGCGCAGAUAUCAGGAGGAACACCAAUGGCGAAGGCAGAUCUCUGGGCCGUAACUGACGCUGAGGAGCGAAAGCAUGGGGAGCGAACAGG
rnacentral:rRNA from 1 species